rnacentral:rRNA from 1 species
CCCUUAGAUGUUCUGGGCUGCACGCGUGCUACAAUGGCGCUUGCAACAAGUCUUGCCAACCCGAUAGGGUGAGCGGAUCUUUGAAGAGGCGUCGUGAUCGGGACAGUUGAUUGCAAUUAUUCGACUCGAACGAGGAAUUCCUUGUAAUCGCGAUUCAUCAUAUCGCGCUGAAUACGUCCCUGCCCUUUGUACACACCGCCCGUCGCUCCUACCGAUUGAGCGGUCCGGUGAAUGUUUUGGACUGGCGUCAGAAGCGGUUCGCUCCUGACACUACGAAAUUUUGUAAACCUUAUCGCUUAGAGGAAGGAAAAGUCGUAACA